UUAAAACUAACAACUGUACGCUCUCGGACCCGUGGGCCUGGUGUGCAAUGGCUACAGACCAUAAGCAACCUCCUCAGUAGUGUCCCCAGCCUCUGGCUCUUGUAUCGGCUGUAAUAAGGAACCUGGAGAUAGUU